rnacentral:rRNA from 1 species
AUUGAACGCUGGCGGCAGGCCUAACACAUGCAAGUCGAACGGUAACAGGAAGCAGCUUGCUGCUUCGCUGACGAGUGGCGGACGGGUGAGUAAUGUCUGGGAAACUGCCUGAUGGAGGGGGAUAACUACUGGAAACGGUAGCUAAUACCGCAUAACGUCGCAAGACCAAAGAGGGGGACCUUAGGGCCUCUUGCCAUCGGAUGUGCCCAGAUGGGAUUAGCUAGUAGGUGGGGUAACGGCUCACCUAGGCGACGAUCCCUAGCUGGUCUGAGAGGAUGACCAGCCACACUGGAACUGAGACACGGUCCAGACUCCUACGGGAGGCAGCAGUGGGGAAUAUUGCACAAUGGGCGCAAGCCUGAUGCAGCCAUGCCGCGUGUAUGAAGAAGGCCUUCGGGUUGUAAAGUACUUUCAGCGGGGAGGAAGGGAGUAAAGUUAAUACCUUUGCUCAUGGACGUUACCCGCAGAAGAAGCGCCGGCUAACUCCGU